rnacentral:lncRNA from 1 species
UUUAGUUCUCAGUCUCAUUUUUGGAAGAUACUCCUUAGGUCUUUGAGGAUUAAACUUAGAACAUGCAAGAGAGAUAUGAAGCUCCUGGAACAAGUUCACUGAAGGGCUACUAAAAUCCUGAAGUGACUGGAGUAUCUCCUUCAUGAGGAAAGGAACCUGUUUAGCUUGAAGAAAAGAAUGCUUAGGAGGAUCUCAUCCAUAUGUAUAAAUACCUGAAGAGAGAGUGCAGUGAAGAUGGACCCAGGGUCUUUUCAGUGGUGCCCAGUGACAGGACAACAUCACAGACACAGACUAGCAGACAGCAAGUUUCCUCUGAACAUCAAGCAGUGCUUCUUUACUGUAUGGGUGACAGAGCAGUGGAACAGGUUGCCCAGAAAGGUUAUGGAUUUUCCUUCCUUGGAGAUAUUCAAAAUCUGGCUGGACAUGGUUCUAAACAACCUGCUCUGGAUGCCCCUACUUGAGCAGGAGGAUGGGAUUAGAUGACCUCUAGAGGCGUCCUCCAACCUCAACCAUUCUGUGAUCCUGUGAACAUAAUUACUGGAUAACAGCAGCUCUGAAAAGUAUUUGGAGAAAGGAGUCAUGUG